rnacentral:rRNA from 1 species
CCUACGGGAGGCAGCAGUGAGGAAUAUUGGUCCAUGGGCGCGAGCCUGAACCAGCCAAGUCGCGUGAGGGAGGACGGCCCUACGGGUUGUAAACCUCUUUUGCCGGGGAGCAACGGGCGUCACGUGUGGCGCCACUGAGAGUACCCGGAGAAAAAGCAUCGGCUAACUCCGUGCCAGCAGCCGCGGUCAUACGGAGGAUGCGAGCGUUAUCCGGAUUUAUUGGGUUUAAAGGGUGCGUAGCCUGAUCGUUAAGUCAGUGGUCAAAUUUGGGGGCUCAACCCCUUUCCGCUAUGGAAAUUGGCGCGCUUGAGUGGAAGAGAAGUAUGCGGAAUGCGUGGUGUAGCGGUGAAAUGCAUAGAUAUCACGCAGAACCCCGAUUGCGAAGGCAGCAUGCCGGCUUCCGACUGACGCUGAAGCACGAAAGCGUGGGGAUCGAACAGGAUUAGAUACCCGAGUAGUC